rnacentral:rRNA from 1 species
AACUGAGGAUAAUACUGGAUAGGCAAUUUUUCCUGUAAUGGUUUUUUGUUUAAAUGUUUUUCGCCUAAGGAUGGGUCUGCGGCCGAUUAGGUAGUUGGUUAGGUAAUGGCUUACCAAGCCGUUGAUCGGUACGGGUUGUGAGAGCAAGAGCCCGGAGAUGGAACCUGAGACAAGGUUCCAGGCCCUACGGGGUGCAGCAGGCGCGAAACCUCCGCAAUGUGAGAAAUCGCGACGGGGGGAUCCCAAGUGCCAUUCUUAACGGGAUGGCUUUUCAUUAGUGUAAAAAGCUUUUGGAAUAAGAGCUGGGCAAGACCGGUGCCAGCCGCCGCGGUAACACCGGCAGCUCUAGUGGUAGCAAUUUUUAUUGGGCCUAAAGCGUCCGUAGCCGGUUUAAUAAGUCUCUGGUGAAAUCCUGUAGCUUAACUGUGGGAAUUGCUGGAGAUACUAUUAGACUUGAGACCGGGAGAGGUUAGAGGUACUCCCAGGGUAGAGGUGAAAUUCUGUAAUCCUGGGAGGACCGCCUGUUGCGAAGGCGUCUAACUGGAACGGUUCUGACGGUGAGGGACGAAAGUUAGGGGCGCGAACCGGAUUAGAUACCCGGGUAGUCCUAACUGUAAACGAUGCGGACUUGGUGUUGGGGUGGCUUUGAGCUGCUCCAGUGCCGAAGGGAAGCUGUUAAGUCCGCCGCCUGGGAAGUACGGUCGCAAGACUGAAACUUAA